UAAUGCGAUCGACCAGUUGAUUAUUUGUGUGCAAAUGGUAUGUUCCACGGGUAUAAAAGGGGAUGAGAUUGACAGGCAACCAAGCGCACGUCACCAAACGCGUCAUCUGGGAUUUCGGAAGUGAUGUAACUUCCUGUGGGUCGUGUUUAUGUCUACGAGUGUGUGGCUGAGGAAUAUUGUGGAUGUGUCGAGUGACACUUUGUCAGCUUUUCACUGAUACACGUCAAGUGUGCGGAGCGGUGUGAGCCCUAUUCGGCAGGUAUGUGAUCAGUUUCACUUAUGUGUAGCGAGGCGCAUCCCUUAUUUUCAAUCUAAAAUCUUGUAUGCUUUAUUAGUGUCACGGAGGUGUUGCAGCAGGCUUUUUGGGCGCUCUUGAGCCUUGCGUCCUUUCUGGGCAAUCAAUACUGACUACUGAGUAGCUGCAGUAAUGAACGCAUGAAAAGCAGCACUAUUAUAAAGGUUUUGGCGUUUAUUUCUUCACGUUGGUCCAGGCUUGACCCGCUCUUCACUGCCUUUUAACGGAUGCAUGUAAGAUGAACUAACCGAAUAUCAUAUCUCCACGAAGGGAGAAUUGCCUUUGUGGCUGGACUGAUAGCGUUCCCGGCCGGUGAGAGCGCAGCUAAAUUUAGCCGUGUUGAUUACUUAAGGGUUUGACUAAGAAUUGGGGUACCAGUGCGAGCCAGUGUCUGCGGUGUGUGGUGGUGGGACAGCUGUCAACUUGCAGUGAUCACAAUUUGGUGUGUGGUGUUGUGAGAGAACACGAGUGCUUGCUGUGUUUAACUAAAAGGCAGUACAAAUUCCCCCAGUUCUGAAGUGGUAAAACAAGUGUGCAUGGAUGAAUGAUGUCGUGACUUAUUGUACUCUUUUAACUUUUUGCAUAUUAAAAUGAAUUAUGUAUUUUCCAUGUGUUUUGAAUAAAUUGUUUCAAAUAUU